CCAGACUCCUACGGGAGGCAGCAGUGAGGAAUAUUGGUCAAUGGCCGAGAGGCUGAACCAGCCAAGUCGCGUGAGGGAUGACGGCCCUACGGGUUGUAAACCUCUUUUGCCAGGGAGCAAAGAGCGGGACGCGUCCCGCCUCGAGAGUACCCGGAGAAAAAGCAUCGGCUAACUCCGUGCCAGCAGCCGCGGUAAUACGGAGGAUGCGAGCGUUAUCCGGAUUUACUGGGUGUAAAGGGCGUGUAGGCGGGAGUGCAAGUCAGAUGUGAAAACUAUGGGCUCAACCCAUAGCCUGCAUUUGAAACUGUACUUCUUGAGUGCUGGAGAGGCAGACGGAAUUCCUAGUGUAGCGGUGAAAUGCGUAGAUAUUAGGAGGAACACCAGUGGCGAAGGCGGUCUGCUGGACAGCAACUGACGCUGAGGCGCGAAAGCGUGGGGAGCAAACAGGAUUAGAUACCCUGGUAC
rnacentral:rRNA from 1 species